AUGAAGGCCAUGUCAGUGCUGCAACUUCUACUCUAUGUUCUCUUCCUAACGGUCUUGUUCGCCUGGUCGGCGACUUGCCACGUGGCUGUGCGCGCCCACCUCACGCACGUCGACAGCACCCGUGGCUUCACCAAGCGCGACCUACUCCACCGGAUGGCAGUUCGGACGCGGAACCGCGUCAACAAGCGGUGGUCACCGCCCGGUCGCGGCCGCGGCGGCACCAGCGACUACGCGGUGACUGCAUCGGGGUCCCGCGACGUGGAUGUCCCCAAUUCCGAGUACCUCAUCCACUUUGGCAUCGGCACACCGCGCCCUCAGCGUGUGGCGCUGACGCUGGACACUGGCAGCGACCUCAUUUGGACGCAGUGCGCUUGUGCAGUCUGCUUCGACCAGCCGUUCCGGGCUAUCGACACCUCCACCUCCGGCACCCAACGCGGUGUCUCGUGCUUCGAUCCCGUCUGCACGCGCGGGGGCCUCCCGUUCUCCGGAUGCGGCGUCAAGGACAACUUGUGCUUCUACGCCUACUCCUAUCCUGGCAACUCGAUCACGACGGGCAAGAUCUACGAGGACACCUUCACCUUCCAGGCGCCCGGUGGCAAGGUCGAUGGCGUGGCCGUGCCUAGCCUACGCUUUGGCUGCGGCAUGUACAACAAGGGCAUCUUCAAAUCAAACGAGUCGGGCAUUGCCGGCUUCGGCCGCGGGCUGAUGUCUCUGCCGUCGCAGCUCAAGGUCAACAAGUUCUCCCACUGCUUCACGAUCACCGGAGAGUACAAAACCAGCCCCAUGUUCCUGGGUACGCCAGACAACCUUGAAGCGCAAGCCACGGGGCCCAUCCAAUACACCCCAUUCGCCCCAAGCCCCGAGGGUCCAAACAGCUCACAGUACUACCUUUCGCUCAAAGGCAUCACCGUCGGCAAGACGCGACUGAUGUUGGACCCGUCGGUGUUUGUGCUCAAGGGUGAUGGCUCCGGCGGGACGAUCAUCGACUCUGGCAUGGGCAUCACGACCUUCCCACGUGCCGUGUUCCAAACACUCCGGGAUGAGCUCGCGAAACAGGUUCCACUAACUGUCCUCGACGGCACGACGAUCGAUGGCGCCGAGUUGCUGUGCUUCUCCACGUCGCCGAACCAGAAGGUGCCCACCAUACCGAAGGUGAUCCUCCAUCUGGAGGGCGCGGACUGGGACCUUCCACGGGAGAGCUACGUGCUGGAUUUCGAGGACGGUCUGUGCGUGCCGAUAUCUUCGUCGGGCGAGAGCGACAUGACCAUCAUAGGCAACUUCCAGCAGCAGAACAUGCACAUCAUCUACGACCUCGAGAGCAACAAGCUGGGCUUCGUGCCUGCACGCUGUGACAAGCUGUGA
rnacentral:rRNA from 1 species